UCGGAGAAGAGUCAGGCCGCUGAGCUGC
rnacentral:piRNA from 1 species